UCCGAGCCCACACGCGCCCCCUCUGUGCCACUCACUUUGCAUCCUGGACUAGAUGAUGUAGCUCGGAUCUUCCCCUUCGUCGUUUAAGAUACUAACAGUAAUAGCUGACACAAACCAAUAAGGAAUUCAACUUUGACUUCCUUCCCAGCCAUGACCUUUGCCCUCACGUUGAAGGAAAUGGGCUUGUUGUCCUCCAGGCCGAUAUCAGUGAACCGGCGUAAGCACCGAGCGAGAGUGUUUCCCAACCAGAUAGGAUCUAAUGGAUCUAAUCUACUGCUGACAAGCGUGCUUCGUAUUGUACUUUACAAUGAUGCGGUCCCACUUCUCUGCCGAGCCAAUGUGUCAUCGUAACACUGCUAGUGCUAAUGAAUGACUUGGUGUGCGUUCUGUGUCCUGCGGUUCUGCCCGUUGACCCGUUGCUGGUUGUCUCGCUGUGUCCCUGCGACCGGCUCUUUGUCAAAGACUGUCCUGUUGUGGAACUCUACUCUUGUUGUGAUCGAUGACUCGUGGGGAAAACAUCUUGAUAACCAGUAGAAGGAGUAAUAAAUACAGCCAGAUGAUAAGAGGGUAUACAGGCAGAAGGCACACAAAGUUUUUUCUCAUGGAUGCACAGUAUAGUUAAUAUGAUCGUCAUUCCAUUGUUUUAAAGCUACUAUUUUGCCUCUACUAUUUCCUACCUCUACUAUUUUGGUAUCACUUUUUAAUAACUUUUAGAAAUACUUCAUUAAUAAGUAAUAAUAAUAAUAUGAAUGAUGGGGUAAUCAUUAAAAAAUCAUUUGUGGAUGUUCAUCUUAUGCAGCGGACUAUACAAACUGGUAGUCUCUGGUUUCCAUCAUAGACAACAUCAUAAACAUGGAAACCUGUGAUGUCACUAAUGGGUCGGUUUGACAUGGCUUGUAAAGGCUGAUCAACAUCACACCUGGUGGCAAAUAAGUCUCUUUAACAUAGCACCUUUCAAAUGUACAUCAAAUGAAUGUGACUGAAAUUAGAUGUGUUGUUCAUGAUUAGUUCAUCAAUAACUAAAGGAUUAUAAAUGACUCGAGACAUAAUGUUAUGAUGAAGUAUUAACCAUUUUAUGGGUAACACUUUUAUUACCCAAUUAUUCUCCAUGCCGGCCUACUGUGUAGAUUCUACUCCCACACGUGUUUCCAAUGCGGAAAAGAAAUGGUGUUGUUAUAUUCACCUCCUUUAUCUCUACGCGAUAAAACCACAGGACCAAGUCAACCAACACCUGCUCCACGUUUCCAAGCAACAAUAAAACCUUAAACAACCGCAGUCACCAGAAUACAGCGCCACUCUGGUUUCAUGUUCAACCACACCAGAUUAGUGGUGUAUCAGCACCAGCGCUGCUAAUAGGCUUUGGCUUCGCUGCCCUGAUGCCAAAGGUCGUGUUUGAGUUGUUACCCUGCUGGCAGAGUGCCAGACGCCUCUCUCUGGAGUCUUGGUUCCUAACAGGAGGGAGAGUCUUGGUUCCUAACAAAAGAGAGUCUUGGUUCCUAGCAGGAGGGAGAGUCUUGGUUCCUAGCAGGAGGGAGAGUCUUGGUUCCUAACAAAAGAGAGUCUUGGUUCCUAGCAGGAGGGAGAGUCUUGGUUCCUAGCAGGAGGGAGAGUCUUGGUUCCUAA